rnacentral:lncRNA from 1 species
AUGGAAGGCUUUGAUGUCUGCACUGAUGUGAUCCGAAGUUGUUGUUGUGGUCGUUGUUGUUGUUGUUGUUUUUUAAUGGAGUUCUGCCCUGUCGCCCAGGCUGAGUGCAAUGGCGGAUCUCCACUCACUGACACCUCCGCCUCCCAGGUUCAAGCGAUUCUCCUACUUCAGCCUCCCGAGUAACUGGGAUUACAGGCCCGCGCUACCACACCUGGCUAAUUUUUUUGUAUUUUUAGUAGAGACGGGGUUUCACCAUGUUGGCCAGGCUGGUCUCAAACUCCUGACCUCAGGUGAUCCACCCACCUCGGCCUCCCAAAGUGCUGGGAUUACCGGCGUGAGCCACCCCUCCCGGAAGAGUUUUAAAAGGCAAGUUUGUACCCACAUUGGAGCAGAAGCUGAAGCCGGAUCAAAAAGUCCUUAAGAAAGCUGGGCUUGCCUACUCGCUUCAGCAGCUCCAGGGCUCUGGAAAUACCUGGAAGCUGCUCCCUGCAGGCCACUCUGUAUCAGGCUCUUUGCUUAUGCUAGGGCAUGAAGCCUCAUCCAAAGCCCCGAAUUACAGCACAACUUUGAAAGUGAUAGAGUCAAACACUUACAGGACAAAUACACCAAGGGGAUGGAAGGGAAGAAAUAAAGGAAUCCAGGACCUGGAGGAGAGCUUUGUGACUGUUGCUGCAGUCCUGGGUCAUCAGAGAAAGCUGCAGAAGUACUCCAGUGAUUGUGAGAGCAUCAGAAGAACUGGCCAUGGUGGGUUGCCAAGUGAUCAGAAGCUGGAGGAGUUAAAGGCAGGGGAGCCAGAUAACCAGCAACAAAGUAGUGCAGAGGGGCGAGAGUUAUUUGACAGCAGCGGGAACUUCCUGUAC